UUCCUCAAAGUGAGAUGCCCCUUCCUGUCGACGCGUCGAGUUGCGUCGGUGUAUGCGGGGUGGCGGCAGCCAGGCGCACGAGGAGUAGGCGGCUCGAAACUGUUCGUUUCCUCUAGUGGCUCUCGUGUGCUCGCGUGACACGUGCGUGAAGGAAAAGACACAACCCCGGUUGAUUUUUUUUUUUUCUUUAGUGUUUAGUGGUGAAAAUAUUCGACGACGAACUCUCGUUAAAACGCAAUCCCGUAGUCGCCGCUGCCGCCCCCCUCUCACCACCCCCUUUCAACUCACCACACACUAUCGUAACAAGAAGAAGAAGAAGGACAACACAUUUGAGUUCAGUGAAUAUAUGAAAAUAUUCCAAGUGUAUUAAUUUAACAAUAAUAAUAACAAUUAGAACAUAAAACUAUGUGUGAGUCAGUGAUCAAAGUAUACACAUCGAACAUUUCAAUGAAACACAUAAGUUUGUUGUUAAUUAAUUCAAGAUAAUAAAUAAGGUGUAUGAAAUUUAUUUACAUUAUUGGAAUAAUUUUGACGGUGUUACGAAAAGAGUGAUGGAAAGAAAUCGAGAGAAAAAACGGAAGGAACAAGAAGAGGAAGAUGGGGUUCCAAAAAUCCUCGAAAUGUCUUCCUUAAAUAAACAAAAUAUAUAAUAUAUUUCUUUUGACUUUGUUUUGUUUUCUGUUCAAAGACUUACAUCGACAAUUAUUCUAUUACCUGUUCAAAAAAAAAACGAAAAAAAGAAUCAAAAAAGAAUCUUCAAAAUCAAAUGAAAGUAUGACGAACGAUUGUUUCAUUAAUUUUCAUCAUUUUUCUUCUCGAAAAGUGGGUUAGUUGGGUGGUUGGAAGGAGAAGGUCAACGAACGUUCAAUAACACAAAAUAUAUUUGUUCUUUUCUUUUUUCUUGUAAAGUCAGUGAAAUUGUCAAAAAGUUUGAAGUGUGAAACGUAAAAAAAAAAAACGUCUUUUGUGUUUUAAUUAACAUAAAUGGAACAAGAAAAAGUUGUAGACAUUUUGUUAAAAGAUUAACAUUGGGUAUCAACAAAUUGGAAGAAAAAAGAAAAAAAAAUGAUUACGCGAAUUGUGUAAGUGUGCGAGUGUGUAUACGUGUUAUCAUCGUGCGUUCAAUAAUAAAAAAAGGAGAAAGAAAACGUUGGAGAAAUUAAAAAAAAAAAAAAAAAAAAA